GUGCUCUCUCUUCUCCCAUAAGCCCCUUCCAGAGCCUUCACAAUGUGUGACGAUGGGAAGCCUGGACACACUCAUCAGAAGUUUGUCCUCUCGUGGGGGCAUGUCAGACAUUAGAGAGACCUUGGCAAUCACGGCUCCCACCUCUUCAUUUUACAAAUGAGCAAUGAACACUCAGAGCAGAGAAGUGGCUUCCCCAGGGUCACACAGCCAGCUUGUGACAGAGUCAGGAUGCAAGCACCAUCUCUUGACUUCUCCGUUGCACCAGACGUUGAGGGAACACAGAGAACCUAAAAGAAGAAAGAAAAUAAAUAGAUCCUUUGGGAAUAUCUUGGGCUUCUGGUUUUCAAGGACAAUUUUAUGAUAAGUAGCAAUGAUGCCUCAAAAGCUCUGGUAGCUAGCUUGAAUGAACUUAUGUAAUAAACAUUUAUCACAGAACAUGUGUCAUCAAACACCUGCCAGAUCCGAGCGUUGGCACCAAAGCUGCUUUCAUUGUCAAAGAAAAGAGGGGGAAAAGGAACUUGGCUGAACAAAGCUGGCAGACGUUUAUACUAGAAAAUUCAGAGAUGUCAGGAACCAUGAAGCACCAGUGGGCACCACCUCCCCUGACUAUCAACGGCUGCAGGCCCAGGAGAAUCCUCCAGCCUACUCUGAGCCACACACCCAGAGGCCACAGCCGCGUGCAGGAAAGUGAGAGGAAGUGGAAACGUGCGAGCAGAGAGCUCAAAGCAACGGGUUCACCACCGG